CUCAAACUUGUAGGAAAUUCAGCCUAAAAGGUAGAGCGAUAUUGUACCUUUUAGACUGUAAGUGUUGCUUUUGGAUAACAUACCAAACACACCCAUGAUCAGCAUCAACUGCUCCUUUCUGCAUCAGGUUUUCUUCAAAUAAGUGUAGAAUUAAUGCAAGUUCAAGUCAAGUACUCCAAUAAAAAAUAAGGCUUGUUUGAGCACCACUUACCCAAAUCAACUGAAUACUAAGCUGGUUCGACCAGCACAGGGUGUGGCUUAUCUUUAAUUUAGGUCGAAUUCAUGGCUUGUAAUUAAGCAAACAAACUCGCACCGGAUAUACCGACAGCAGCAGAAUUUGAGUGAGUGCCUUGUCACUUGUCAAUGUCGGACGCGAGCGGCUGCGUGGCUACGAGCCUACAACGGAGCUGGAAGACACCCAGGCAGCCACCUCGCUUCCCUGCAUCACCCCCUUCUUCCCGUGCGUCUUCUCGAAGGAUCCAUGUAGUGAGGUCGUUGGAUCCGUUGGCCAGGACCAGCAGCGCGGCACCUUCAGUUCUCCGGCGUGCCUCGCCCAGCCUCUAGUCUUACUUCCUUUUAUCCCCUGCC
rnacentral:lncRNA from 1 species